UUAUAUAUAAAGAAUACUUUCAAUCUCUCCUGGUGGUGACAGCUCAGAUUCCACGUCAGAAAUAGGAAGUCUACAGCGUUGACACGUCGGAUCCGCACCGUUUCACUAAAGCGUUGCUCUGUCCGAACGGGCUUCACGUGGGCUUCGUCACGCUCUAAUCAAAUGUUUUCUGUCGCGAGGCCCGUCCGCAUACGUCUUCUACGGGGAACCCUAAACAGAUGCUCCCUUCCUGUUCUUCGUUCGUCGCCUAUCGCCGCAGCGGCUGUCUAGAACCUGUAACGGUUUUGCUUUCAAUCACCUUAAAUCGUCUUUAAUUCACCAAUAAUGGAGUUUCAAGAGGAUGUAGUCUCGAAGAAUCUAUGUAAGAAGCUUCGUUUGCGUCUUUACGCCUUCCUUUCUAAUCCUUUGAAACGUUAAUGGUUAUUUAUUCAUGGUUGUCUAAUCUCUGCAAGUUGGUCUCUCAGCACCUAUAAAAGCUGCAACACAAGAAGUUGCGAUGAACGGAGUCCUCAUCGGUUUGAAUCAGCCCUAGGGACGACAGAGUCGCGGAGAUCUUCGAUUCCGUACCUCUCAUUCCUCCUCUCGAGAUCUCUCGCUCAUCAUGUUAGAGGAGCAUUACGUGGCUAUGUGAGGAGAUGGAGUUGAGAUGAGGAUGCUAGCUCUUACAGCUUUGGAUGUUCUACGGUUCGUCAGAUUUUUACAAUUGAUAUAGGUUUUUGUGUGUUUGAGUGAACUUUUGACGCUGAGGAUAUGCAAGAGUUCAAUGUCUAGCAUGCAGGACAGCAGAUGACUUAUUGCAAUAAGCUGGCUAGACUUGAUGGAGUUCCAUACCGUGAUUUCACUGGAUAGGUCUUUGGUUUUUUUUUUUGGAAAAGAAAAAAAAUGUAGUUUGCAUUUUAGGGGUUAACAUGUUAAACUCAAGCAUCUUUCUUAGUUGUUGUUUGCCUUGCGCUGUUGGCAGGAGAGGAUUUGACUAUUCUCUAUGGGUUCGAAUGUAAGGAUAAUGUUUUAGACCAACACACAAAACCCACCGGGUCAUAUAAACGAACAGUGUCACUUACCAAAUAACCAAAAAUUUAGCAAAACACCCUUACAAAGCUGCAGCGCAACAUAGCGUCCCAAUAAAAGCCACCCUCAAGAACUGCAUACUAACCUCCCUGCAACCCAUGUUAGUCAGGAUAGUUGUUUGCUUGAACUCUGACCUCACAGCACCUUCUGUUUUCUUUUUAUCAGCACCUACAACAACUAAAACAAUGGAAUCAAAAGCAGAGCUUGAAGGUCAUUUGUUUGAA